ACGGGUGAGUAAUGCCUAGGAAUCUGCCUGAUAGUGGGGGAUAACGUCCGGAAACGGACGCUAAUACCGCAUACGUCCUACGGGAGAAAGCAGGGGACCUUCGGGCCUUGCGCUAUCAGAUGAGCCUAGGUCGGAUUAGCUAGUUGGUGGGGUAAAGGCUCACCAAGGCGACGAUCCGUAACUGGUCUGAGAGGAUGAUCAGUCACACUGGAACUGAGACACGGUCCAGACUCCUACGGGAGGCAGCAGUGGGGAAUAUUGGACAAUGGGCGAAAGCCUGAUCCAGCCAUGCCGCGUGUGUGAAGAAGGUCUUCGGAUUGUAAAGCACUUUAAGUUGGGAGGAAGGGUCGUUACCUAAUACGUGACGAUUUUGACGUUACCGACAGAAUAAGCACCGGCUAACUCUGUGCCAGCAGCCGCGGUAAUACAGAGGGUGCAAGCGUUAAUCGGAAUUACUGGGCGUAAAGCGCGCGUAGGUGGUUUGUUAAGUUGGAUGUGAAAUCCCCGGGCUCAACCUGGGAACUGCAUCCAAAACUGGCAAGCUAGAGUAGGGCAGAGGGUGGUGGAAUUUCCUGUGUAGCGGU
rnacentral:rRNA from 1 species